rnacentral:rRNA from 1 species
ACUGGGCGUUAAGUUGCAGGGUAUAGACCCGAAACCCGGUGAUCUAGCCAUGGGCAGGUUGAAGGUUGGGUAACACUAACUGGAGGACCGAACCGACUAAUGUUGAAAAAUUAGCGGAUGACUUGUGGCUGGGGGUGAAAGGCCAAUCAAACCGGGAGAUAGCUGGUUCUCCCCGAAAGCUAUUUAGGUAGCGCCUCGUGAACUCAUCUUCGGGGGUAGAGCACUGUUUCGGCUAGGGGGUCAUCCCGACUUACCAACCCGAUGCAAACUACGAAUACCGAAGAAUGUUAUCACGGGAGACACACGGCGGGUGCUAACGUCCGUCGUGAAGAGGGAAACAACCCAGACCGCCAGCUAAGGUCCCAAAGUCAUGGUUAAGUGGGAAACGAUGUGGGAAGGCACAGACAGCCAGGAUGUUGGCUUAGAAGCAGCCAUCAUUUAAAGAAAGCGUAAUAGCUCACUGGUCGAGUCGGCCUGCGCGGAAGAUGUAACGGGGCUAAACCAUGCACCGAAGCUGCGGCAGCGACACUAUGUGUUGUUGGGUAGGGGAGCGUUCUGUAAGCCUGCGAAGGUGACCUGUGAGGGUUGCUGGAGGUAUCAGAAGUGCGAAUGCUGACAUAAGUAACGAUAAAGCGGGUGAAAAGCCCGCUCGCCGGAAGACCAAGGGUUCCUGUCCAACGUUAAUCGGGGCAGGGUGAGUCGACCCCUAAGGCGAGGCCGAAAGGCGUAGUCGAUGGGAACGGAGAAGGCUAUGUUAGCCGGGCGACGGUUGUCCCGGUUUAAGCAUGUAGGCUUGUUGUCCAGGCAAAUCCGGAUAAUCAAGGCUGAGGUGUGAUGACGAGGCACUACUGUGCUGAAGUAACAAAUGCCCUGCUUCCAGGAAAAGCCUCUAAGCAUCAGGUAACAUCAAAUCGUACCCCAAACCGACACAGGUGGUCAGGUAGAGAAU